rnacentral:rRNA from 1 species
GUUUAUGGCAAUACCACCCUAAGGACGCCUGGUCUCAGAAGCUAAAUAGAGUUGGGCCUGGUUAGUACUUGGAUGGGGGGCCACCUGGGAGCAUCAGGUGCUGUUUGGA